AGAACCACUGAAUGGAAUGAAACCAAACAUGGCAUGAAUGUUCCUUAUGAGAUGCUGACCAAGUGUUGUUACUUUGCAGUCGGUCCAUCAUCCAAGAUGGCCGCCAGCAGGGGACUUAGUUUAACAUAGGACCCUAUGGGAAAUACAUAUAAAUGUCUUCUUUUAGAGAACCACUGAAUGGAAUGAAACCAAACAUGGCAUGAAUGUCCCUUAUGAGGUUCUGACCAAGUGUUGUUACUUUGUAGCCGAUCCAUCAUCCAAGAUGGCCGCCAGUGGGGGACUUAGUUUAACAUAGGACCUAUGGGAAAUACAUACAAAUGUCUUCUUUUAGAGAACCACUGAAUGGAAUGAAACCAAACAUGGCAUGAAUGUUCCUUAUGAGGUGCUGACCAAGUGUUGUUACUUUGCAGUCGGUCCAUCAUCCAAGAUGGCCGACAGCGGGGGACUUAGUUUAACAAAGGACCUAUGGGAAAUACAUACAAAUGUCUUCUUUUAGCGAACCACUGAAUGGAAUGAAACCAAACAUGGCAUGAAUGUUCCUUAUGAGAUGCUGACCAAGUGUUGUUACUUUGCAGUCGGUCCAUCAUCCAAGAUGGCCGACAGCAGGGGACUUAGUUUAACAAAGGACCUAUGGGAAAUACAUACAAAUGUCAUCUUUUAGAGAACCACUGAAUGGAAUGAAACCAAACAUGGCAUGAAUCUUCCUUAUGAGAUGCUGACCAAGUGUUGCUACUUUGUAGCCGAUCCAUCAUCAAAGAUGGCCGACAGCGGGGGACUUAGUUUAACAUAGGACCCUAUGGGAAAUACAUACAAUUGUCUUCUUUUAGAGAACCACUGAAUGGAAUUGAACCAAACAAGGCAUGCAUGUUCCUUAUGAGUUGCUGACCAAGUGUUGUUACUUUGCAGUCGAUCCAUCAUCCAAGAUGGCCGCUAGGGGGGGGGGGGGGGGGGGGGGGGGGGGG